AUGUGCAAAACACUAAUUCCAGAGCUCUGCUGGCGAGGUUUCCUUAAUAGAGAAGAGUGCAGAGCAAUGCAAGGUGAUGGGGCUGGCCUCUGGGAUGGUCAGGAAGGAAUUGUCUCCUGGAGAGCAUCCAAACAAGAAGCAGGCCCUCCUCACAUUGACGAUGAGAGCUUUGGUCCACAGUACAGUGGGGAUGGUGUGGUGAAGGGUUUAGGAGAAGGACUCUGGGUGUGAUGGACACGUGGGUUGCUUCCAUCUCUUGGCCAUUGAGAAUAGUGCUGCUGUGAACAUGGUAGGUUGUUAACUAUUUGUAAGCAAACAAAUCUUUUUCUUUUCUUUCCUUCA
rnacentral:lncRNA from 1 species